AAGAUACUCCCUCCGUCCUAAAAUUCUUGUCUUGCAUUUGUCUAUACAUGACUGUAUCUAGUCACAUUUUAAUAUUUACAUACAUUCAUUUCUAGACAAAUCUAAGACAAAAAAUUUGGGACGAAGGGAGUAGAUG
rfam:Hordeum vulgare subsp. vulgare, WGS project CAJW01000000 data, contig: morex_contig_41160